GUCCUGGUGGCAGAGUGGUUAAGUGCUUGGCUGCUAGCCAAAAGGUCGGCAGUUCGAAUCUACCCAGAGGCA
rnacentral:tRNA from 1 species